rnacentral:rRNA from 1 species
GAUGAACGCUGGCGGCGUGCCUAAUACAUGCAAGUCGAGCGAACAGACGAGGAGCUUGCUCCUCUGACGUUAUCGGCGGACGGGUGAGUAACACGAGGAUAACCUACCUAUAAGACUGGGAUAACUUCGGGAAACCGGAGCUAAUACCGGAUAAUAUAUUGAACCGCAUGGUUCAAUAGUGAAAGACGGUUUUGCUGUCACUUAUAGAUGGAUCCGCGCCGCAUUAGCUAGUUGGUAAGGUAACGGCUUACCAAGGCAACGAUGCGUAACCGACCUGAGAGGGUGGUCGGACACACGGGAACUGAGACACGGUCCAGACUCCUACAGGGGGCAGCAGUAGGGAAUCUUACGCGAUGGGCGAAAGCCUGACGGAGCAACGCCGCGUGAGUGAUGAAGGUCUUCGGAUCGUAAAACUCUGUUAUUAGGGAAGAACAAAUGUGUAAGUAACUAUGAACGUCUUGACGGUACCUAAUCAGAAAGCCACGGCUAACUACGUG